GGCGUGUGAACGUGAAAAACGAAGAAAUUGAUGAAAUGAUCAAGGAGGCUCCGGGUCCAAUUAACUUUACUGUGUUCCUCACAAUGUUUGGGGAGAAACUUAAGGGAGCGGACGCUGAGGAAACCAUUCUCAACGCAUUCAAAGUGUUUGACCCUGAAGGCAAAGGGGUGCUGAAGGCUGAUUAGUGAGUGGGGUCUGUGGGGAGGAGGGGGUUCCCUGCUUGCCCUCCUGCCCCCCUACACACACACAACUGACACCAACACCUGCUUUCCUCUCUCUGCAGUGUUCGGGACAU
rnacentral:sRNA from 1 species